GGGUCGAGGUAGAGGGGGCUUUGAUGGAGGGUUUGGGCCACCAGGAGGUCCUGGCAUGGGUCGUGGUGGUCGUGGUCGCGGCCCGGUGGGGAUGACGUGCACGAGGGUCAAUACACUGUGCCUGCUAACAAGUGUGGCUUGGUCAUUGGCAAGGGUGGAGAGGCCAUUCGUCAGAUAAACCAGCAGUCUGGUGCCCACGUGGAACUGUCCAGGGCACCCCCGCCAAACCCUGUGGAGAAAGUGUUCAUCAUUCGGGGCAAUCCUCAGCAGAUUGAGCAUGCUCAGCAGCUGAUUAAUGAGCGGAUAGGUGGGCCUCCGCCAGGAGCGGCCAACGGACAGGGCCCCCCUAACUACCCGACACAGUACCCACAGCCAUACCAACAGCCUCCGCCUCCCAACCAGCCAUAUGCACCACAGGGCUGGGGAAAUGCUUACCAGCAUUGGCAGAACCAAAGUGCACCGCCAAAUGACCCCUCUAAAGCAGCUGCUGACGCGAAUGCAGCAGCCUGGGCUGCAUAUUAUGCACAAUAUUAUGGACAGCAGGGUGGCCAGCCUCCACAGACCACC